GUGAGGAAUAUUGGACAAUGGGUGCGAGCCUGAUCCAGCCAUCCCGCGUGAAGGACGACGGCCCUAUGGGUUGUAAACUUCUUUUGUAUAGGGAUAAACCUACUCUCGUGAGAGUAGCUGAAGGUACUAUACGAAUAAGCACCGGCUAACUCCGUGCCAGCAGCCGCGGUAAUACGGAGGGUGCAAGCGUUAUCCGGAUUUAUUGGGUUUAAAGGGUCCGUAGGCGGAUCUGUAAGUCAGUGGUGAAAUCUCACAGCUUAACUGUGAAACUGCCAUUGAUACUGCAGGUCUUGAGUGUUGUUGAAGUAGCUGGAAUAAGUAGUGUAGCGGUGAAAUGCAUAGAUAUUACUUAGAACACCAAUUGCGAAGGCAGGUUACUAAGCAACAACUGACGCUGAUGGACGAAAGCGUGGGGAGCGA
rnacentral:rRNA from 1 species